GUGAAAAGCCUUCAGUUGUGCUGAGAUAUUACCUUCAUUUUUUCUGGGCUCAACCAGAGAGGACUUUGGAGGAAAAAAGUCAAAGAUGAGCCUAGAGGGAGAGCCACAGAACUCGAGAGGGUGCACACCGUGAAGGCCGGGGAGGUCAUCUGACCACCCUCCCCCGGCGGGCGGGAGAGGAAAACCAAGUGGAGCUGCCUGACCCCGUGACCUACCUGCGGCGCAGAUCCUCGGCCACAGCCGCCCGGCAGCUGAACAGUUUGUGAACUGGUGCCCCCUUCACACAGCGCUGCAAUCUGCGUGAUUCAAGAGCUGAGGAGGAAGUUGAGGCUGAAAGCUGCUUCUCCACACCUCACACACAGGAGUUGGAGCAAACAGCAAAAAUCCAUUUCUGGAUUCAUGGCUGGACCAAGAACCGCACUGGUCAAAGAAAUCUCACAUUAAGCCUAUUUCACGAUAAGGGCAUAAAACGAAUUAAUCAUCACCAUCAUCAUCAGCCUCAUCACCACUACCAUCAGGGUUGCACCUCAUUGCCAUUAAAGGAGCUCCCAACAGUUUAUUUAACAAACUGCUAACCCA